rnacentral:rRNA from 1 species
GACGAACGCUGGCGGCGUGCCUAAUACAUGCAAGUCGAACGCAUUUUCUUUCACCGUAGCUUGCUACACCGAAAGAAAAUGAGUGGCGAACGGGUGAGUAACACGUGGGUAACCUGCCCAUCAGCGGGGGAUAACACUUGGAAACAGGUGCUAAUACCGCAUAAUUCCAUUUACCGCAUGGUAGAUGGAUGAAAGGCGCUUUUGCGUCACUGAUGGAUGGACCCGCGGUGCAUUAGCUAGUUGGUGGGGUAACGGCCUACCAAGGCUGCGAUGCAUAGCCGACCUGAGAGGGUGAUCGGCCACACUGGGACUGAGACACGGCCCAGACUCCUACGGGAGGCAGCAGUAGGGAAUCUUCGGCAAUGGACACAAGUCUGACCGAGCAACGCCGCGUGAGUGAAGAAGGUUUUCGGAUCGUAAAACUCUGUUGUUAGAGAAGAACAAGGAUGAGAGUGGAAAGUUCAUCCCUUGACGGUACCUAAACAGAAAGCCACGGCUAACUACGUG